GUGGCUGUAGCUCAGUUGGUAGAGCCCCGGAUUGUGACUCCGGUGGUCGUGGGUUCAAAUCCCAUCAGCCACCCCA
rnacentral:tRNA from 10 species